GCAAGGAACAAGUGGCGCGCUCCAGCGAUUAUCUCGACGGCCAGUUAAGCUUUCGUGAACGCCUGAUGGUGCGCCAUCACCUGAUGUUCUGCCCCAAUUGCCGACGAUUCAUCCGCCAGAUGCGCCUGAUGCAGGCGACCCUCAGAAAACUGCCGCAUCCGCCGGUUCCCGACCUGGAUCACCUCGCCGAGAAACUCGCCGCCGAGCGUCGCAAAACAUCUAAGUAAUCU
rnacentral:sRNA from 1 species